AGGUCAAACAAGAAAGAGCGCAGGGUGGAUGCCUUGGCACUAAGAGCCGAUGAAGGACGUGAUAAGCUGCGAAAAGCUGCGGGGAGGAGCAAAUAUCCAUUGAUCCGCAGGUAUCCGAAUGGGGAAACCCACCUGGAUAAACUCCAGGUAUCCAUACGCCAAUCCAUAACGUAUGGAAGGGAACCCGGUGAACUGAAACAUCUAAGUAGCCGGAGGAAAAGAAAGAAAACUCGAUUCCCAGAGUAGCGGCGAGCGAAAUGGGAGGAGCCUAAACCAGCGUGCGUGCAUGCUGGGGUUAUGGACUGCAGAAGUUACUGAAAACGAUAGUGGAAUGGUUUUGGGAAAGCCAGCCAGAGAGGGUGAAAGCCCCGUACAUGAAAUUGUGACCAGGACGGCAGGAUCCAGAGUACCACGAGACACGUGGAACCUUGUGGGAAGUCGGGGGGACCACCCCCCAAGGCUAAAUACUCCUUAGUGACCGAUAGCGCAUAGUACUGUGAAGGAAAGGUGAAAAGGACCCCGGGAGGGGAGUGAAAGAGAACCUGAAACCCUGUGUUUACAAGCUGUGGGAGCACCUUAUGAGUGCAACCGCGUACUUUUUGUAGAACGGUCCGGCGAGUUACGCUGGCUGGCGAGGUUAAACGGUAGAGCCGUGGAGCCGAAGGGAAACCAAGUCUUAAGAGGGCGGAUAAGUCAGUCAGAGUAGACCCGAAACCGGGUGAUCUAUCCAUGUCCAGGUUGAAGUUGCCGUAAAAGGCAAUGGAGGACCGAACCCACAUCCGUUGAAAAGGGUGGGGAUGAGGUGUGGAUAGGGGAGAAAUUCCAAUCGAACCCGGAGAUAGCUGGUUCUCCUCGAAAUAGCUUUAGGGCUAGCCUCGAUAGAGUCUUGCGGAGGUAGAGCACUGAAUUUCCUAGGGGGCGUCAAAGCUUACCGAAGAAUAUCAAACUCCGAAUGCCGUGUAGAUGCUUAUCGGGAGUCAGACUAUACGAGAUAAGUUGGAUAGUCAAAAGGGAAAGAGCCCAGACCUCCAGCUAAGGUCCCAAAGUACGUGUUAAGUGGAAAAGGAUGUGGGAUUUCGAAGACAACCAGGAUGUUGGCUCAGAAGCAGCCAUACAUUCAAAGAGUGCGUAAUAGCUCACUGGUCGAGAGGUCCUGCGCCGAAAAUGUCCGGGGCUGAAACACGACACCGAAGCUGAGGAAUGUCUGAAGACAUUGGUAGAGGAGCAUUGGAUACGCAACGAAGCAGUACCGGAAGGAGCUGUGGAGUGUAUCGAAGAGAGAAUGCCGGAAUGAGUAGCGAGAGAGAGGUGGGAAUCCUCUCGGCCGAAUAUCUAAGGUUUCCAGGGUAAAGCUGAUCUGCCCUGGGUAAGUCGGGGCCUAAGGCGAGGACGAGAGUCGUAGCCGAUGGACAACAGGUUGAGAUUCCUGUACUGCAGUAAGACAGAACUGUGGGGACACGUGUGGAGAGCAUAGGCGCGGAAUGGAAAGCCGCGUGCAAGCG
rnacentral:rRNA from 1 species